GGUUACUUCAAGUUAGAGGAGUCAAUGUUCAUAAGAAAGACACAACAAGCUGGGCUUCCGGCAGAUCUCAGAGGGGUUGGAUAGCGGGCAAGGACGCGCGCAAGGCAAGAUUCGUGGCUUUUGAGAAUAACCGACCUUGGAACUGAGGGCAAUCGGUGGCUGGGUCCAUUUCGCGAGCUGGGUGAAGGAACUGCGGCCGGUCCUGUCCCCGGCUGAUGUGUGUUCAGAGGUUGGGCGUGGGAACUCCGGCAGCUCUAGUCCCACCUGUGGCAGCGGCUCGGGUUUGUUACAUUUGUCAAGUGGUUACAUCGUCAAGUCAGGAGAUUCGCUACAUUCCCUCCGCCAACCGACGCCCAGGUAGCCGGACCCAUGACAGUGAAAGCAACGUCAGUUGCCGCGGCAACCGAGGUAAACACUCCGAGUGCAACAACAAGGAACUGCAGGUGUUUAAGAAGGAACUGCAGAUGCUGGAAAAUCGAAGGUACACAAAAAAGAUGGAGAAACUCAGCGGGUGCAGCAGCAUCGAUGGAGCGAAGGAAAAAGGCAACGUUU